rnacentral:rRNA from 1 species
GUGAGGAAUAUUGCGGAAUGGAGGCAACUCUGACGCAGCCAUGCCGCGUGCAGGAAGAAGGCGCUACGCGUUGUAAACUGCUUUUAACCGGGAAGAAACCCCAGGACGUGUCCUGGGUUGACGGUACCGGAGGAAUAAGCACCGGCUAACUUCGUGCCAGCAGCCGCGGUAAUACGAAGGGUGCAAGCGUUAUCCGGAUUCAUUGGGUUUAAAGGGUGCGUAGGCGGAGCGUUAAGUCAGUGGUGAAAUCCUGCAGCUUAAGUGUAGACUUGCCAUUGAUACUGGCGCUCUUGAGUGCGCUUGAAGUGGGCGGAAUGUGCCGUGUAGCGGUGAAAUGCUUAGAUAUGGCACAGAACACCAAUUGCGAAGGCAGCUCACUAAGGCGAUACUGACGCUGAGGCACGAAAGCGUGGGGAUCGAACAGGAUUAGAAACCCGAGUAGUCC